rnacentral:rRNA from 2 species
GAUUAAGUUAUUAAGGGCGCACGGUGGAUGCCUUGGCACUAGAAGCCGAUGAAGGACGUUACUAACGACGAUAUGCUUUGGGGAGCUGUAAGUAAGCUUUGAUCCAGAGAUUUCCGAAUGGGGAAACCCAGCAUGAGUUAUGUCAUGUUAUCGAUAUGUGAAUACAUAGCAUAUCAGAAGGCACACCCGGAGAACUGAAACAUCUUAGUACCCGGAGGAAGAGAAAGAAAAUUCGAUUCCCUUAGUAGCGGCGAGCGAAACGGGAAGAGCCCAAACCAACAAGCUUGCUUGUUGGGGUUGUAGGACACUCUAUACGGAGUUACAAAGGACGACAUUAGACGAAUCAUCUGGAAAGAUGAAUCAAAGAAGGUAAUAAUCCUGUAGUCGAAAAUGUUGUCUCUCUUGAGUGGAUCCUGAGUACGACGGAGCACGUGAAAUUCCGUCGGAAUCUGGGAGGACCAUCUCCUAAGGCUAAAUACUCUCUAGUGACCGAUAGUGAACCAGUACCGUGAGGGAAAGGUGAAAAGCACCCCGGAAGGGGAGUGAAAUAGAACCUGAAACCGUGUGCUUACAAGUAGUCAGAGCCCGUUAAUGGGUGAUGGCGUGCCUUUUGUAGAAUGAACCGGCGAGUUACGAUUUGAUGCAAGGUUAAGCAGUAAAUGUGGAGCCGUAGCGAAAGCGAGUCUGAAUAGGGCGUUUAGUAUUUGGUCGUAGACCCGAAACCAGGUGAUCUACCCUUGGUCAGGUUGAAGUUCAGGUAACACUGAAUGGAGGACCGAACCGACUUACGUUGAAAAGUGAGCGGAUGAACUGAGGGUAGCGGAGAAAUUCCAAUCGAACCUGGAGAUAGCUGGUUCUCUCCGAAAUAGCUUUAGGGCUAGCCUCAAGUGAUGAUUAUUGGAGGUAGAGCACUGUUUGGACGAGGGGCCCCUCUCGGGUUACCGAAUUCAGACAAACUCCGAAUGCCAAUUAAUUUAACUUGGGAGUCAGAACAUGGGUGAUAAGGUCCGUGUUCGAAAGGGAAACAGCCCAGACCACCAGCUAAGGUCCCAAAAUAUAUGUUAAGUGGAAAAGGAUGUGGCGUUGCCCAGACAACUAGGAUGUUGGCUUAGAAGCAGCCAUCAUUUAAAGAGUGCGUAAUAGCUCACUAGUCGAGUGACACUGCGCCGAAAAUGUACCGGGGCUAAACAUGUUACCGAAGCUGUGGAUUGUCCUUUGGACAAUGGUAGGAGAGCGUUCUAAGGGCGUUGAAGCAUGAUCGUAAGGACAUGUGGAGCGCUUAGAAGUGAGAAUGCCGGUGUGAGUAGCGAAAGACGGGUGAGAAUCCCGUCCACCGAUUGACUAAGGUUUCCAGAGGAAGGCUCGUCCGCUCUGGGUUAGUCGGGUCCUAAGCUGAGGCCGACAGGCGUAGGCGAUGGAUAACAGGUUGAUAUUCCUGUACCACCUAUAAUCGUUUUAAUCGAUGGGGGGACGCAGUAGGAUAGGCGAAGCGUGCGAUUGGAUUGCACGUCUAAGCAGUAAGGCUGGGUAUUAGGCAAAUCCGGUACUCGUUAAGGCUGAGCUGUGAUGGGGAGAAGACAUUGUGUCUUCGAGUCGUUGAUUUCACACUGCCGAGAAAAGCCUCUAGAUAGAAAAUAGGUGCCCGUACCGCAAACCGACACAGGUAGUCAAGAUGAGAAUUCUAAGGUGAGCGAGCGAACUCUCGUUAAGGAACUCGGCAAAAUGACCCCGUAACUUCGGGAGAAGGGGUGCUCUUUAGGGUUAACGCCCAGAAGAGCCGCAGUGAAUAGGCCCAAGCGACUGUUUAUCAAAAACACAGGUCUCUGCUAAACCGUAAGGUGAUGUAUAGGGGCUGACGCCUGCCCGGUGCUGGAAGGUUAAGAGGAGUGGUUAGCUUCUGCGAAGCUACGAAUCGAAGCCCCAGUAAACGGCGGCCGUAACUAUAACGGUCCUAAGGUAGCGAAAUUCCUUGUCGGGUAAGUUCCGACCCGCACGAAAGGCGUAACGAUUUGGGCACUGUCUCAACGAGAGACUCGGUGAAAUCAUAGUACCUGUGAAGAUGCAGGUUACCCGCGACAGGACGGAAAGACCCCGUGGAGCUUUACUGUAGCCUGAUAUUGAAAUUCGGCACAGCUUGUACAGGAUAGGUAGGAGCCUUUGAAACGUGAGCGCUAGCUUACGUGGAGGCGCUGGUGGGAUACUACCCUAGCUGUGUUGGCUUUCUAACCCGCACCACUUAUCGUGGUGGGAGACAGUGUCAGGCGGGCAGUUUGACUGGGGCGGUCGCCUCCUAAAAGGUAACGGAGGCGCUCAAAGGUUCCCUCAGAAUGGUUGGAAAUCAUUCAUAGAGUGUAAAGGCAUAAGGGAGCUUGACUGCGAGACCUACAAGUCGAGCAGGGUCGAAAGACGGACUUAGUGAUCCGGUGGUUCCGCAUGGAAGGGCCAUCGCUCAACGGAUAAAAGCUACCCCGGGGAUAACAGGCUUAUCUCCCCCAAGAGUUCACAUCGACGGGGAGGUUUGGCACCUCGAUGUCGGCUCAUCGCAUCCUGGGGCUGUAGUCGGUCCCAAGGGUUGGGCUGUUCGCCCAUUAAAGCGGUACGCGAGCUGGGUUCAGAACGUCGUGAGACAGUUCGGUCCCUAUCCGUCGUGGGCGUAGGAAAUUUGAGAGGAGCUGUCCUUAGUACGAGAGGACCGGGAUGGACAUACCUCUGGUGUACCAGUUGUCGUGCCAACGGCAUAGCUGGGUAGCUAUGUGUGGACGGGAUAAGUGCUGAAAGCAUCUAAGCAUGAAGCCCCCCUCAAGAUGAGAUUUCCCAACUUCGGUUAUAAGAUCCCUCAAAGAUGAUGAGGUUAAUAGGUUCGAGGUGGAAGCAUGGUGACAUGUGGAGCUGACGAAUACUAAUCGAUCGAAGACUUAAUCAA